rnacentral:lncRNA from 1 species
GACUCCCAGCCAAGUCACUCAUGCGGUUCAAGUCAGCCUGUAAAGGCUGGAAAUUGAUCAUCGAACGAGAUUCGCACUUCAUCAAAUUACACCGCAUCCGUUCACAAGCACGCCCACCACGUUUGUUGACGAUCAUCCGCAAUUGUUUUCAAGGAGACAGCAAAAGGACUGCUUCUUUUGAUUUAUUUUCAGCCGAUCUGGACUGUGUCGAUGGUGGUGAUGUCAGAGGAGCCACUGUUCA